rnacentral:rRNA from 1 species
GAUGAACGCUGGCGGCGUGCCUAAUACAUGCAAGUCGAGCGAACAGACGAGGAGCUUGCUCCUUUGACGUUAGCGGCGGACGGGUGAGUAACACGUAGGUAACCUACCUAUAAGACUGGGAUAACUUCGGGAAACCGGAGCUAAUACCGGAUAAUAUUUCGAACCGCAUGGUUCGAUAGUGAAAGACGGCUUUGCUAUCACUUAUAGAUGGACCUGCGCCGUAUUAGCUAGUUGGUAAGGUAACGGCUUACCAAGGCAACGAUACGUAGCCGACCUGAGAGGGUGAUCGGCCACACUGGAACUGAGACACGGUCCAGACUCCUACGGGAGGCAGCAGUAGGGAAUCUUCCGCAAUGGGCGAAAGCCUGACGGAGCAACGCCGCGUGAGUGAUGAAGGUCUUCGGAUCGUAAAACUCUGUUAUUAGGGAAGAACAGACGUGUAAGUAACUGUGCACGUCUUGACGGUACCUAAUCAGAAAGCCACGGCUAACUACGUG